UUCAUAUUUCAUUCAGCCGUUGUCCGUUGGCACUUUGCUGCCUCUCAUCUCAGUCCAUCAGCCGCGGUGCCUAUCUCUGACUGGCCACUCAACCUCCUCCUCAAUCUUUCCGUAACCUCCGUCGUCCGACCUCUAUUGCAGGCAAGUGGCAACGCAUUGCUCCGGACCGUCCAUAGACCGUAACCUCCGCAUCAUAGGGCCGCAGCUCCGUCUUUGCCGCUCCUUAACCUUCGAGGCAACUGCCAAUCGACGAUUCUUUCGGGCUCCAGCAAUCGGCGACAGCCAGCAAAAGAAGAAGUGGUACUUCCUGCAUGUUGCUCUUCAAUUGAUUUUGGUAUUUUGUUACCAGACAGUGAGAGUAAGACAAACUUCCAGUUCAUUGUUGCCUCUAGCCCUCUGCGAUUGUAAGUUGCUUACUCUAUCACUAGAAUGAAAAUAGAAUAUAUUGUUGUCCUGUGAAAUUGUGAAUUGGACUAUGAAUUGAUUAUAUGAAAUUGUGAAUUGGACUA